rnacentral:rRNA from 1 species
GAUGAACGCUGGCGGCGUGCCUAAUACAUGCCAGUCGAGCGAACAGAUGAGGAGCUUGCUCCUCUUACGUUAGCGGCGGACGGGUGAGUAACACGUGGAUAACCUACCUAUAAGACUGGGAUAACUUCGGGAAACCGGAGCUAAUACCGGAUAAUAUAUUGAACCGCAUGGUUCAAUAGUGAAAGACGGUUUUGCUGUCACUUAUAGAUGGAUCCGCGCCGCAUUAGCUAGUUGGUAAGGUAACGGCUUACCAAGGCAACGAUGCGUAGCCGACCUGAGAGGGUGAUCGGCCACACUGGAACUGAGACACGGUCCAGACUCCUACGGGAGGCAGCAGUAGGGAAUCUUCCGCAAUGGGCGAAAGCCUGACGGAGCAACGCCGCGUGAGUGAUGAAGGUCUUCGGAUCGUAAAACUCUGUUAUUAGGGAAGAACAAAUGUGUAAGUAACUAUGCACGUCUUGACGGUACCUAAUCAGAAAGCCACGGCUAACUACGUG